rnacentral:lncRNA from 1 species
UUUAACAGCGAGCAUUAUUUCUCCCUUGUAAUUUCACUUCAUUUAACCACCACCAUCAAUCAAAAUCAACGGUUAGAUUACCACCUCGACAACUCUACACCCUUAGAUCAUCCCCCUCACCACUAUAAAUUCAAUAGAGCACUCACUCAUUUUCUAAACCAAGAAACACACACUGAUCAUCACUUCAAAAGAUCAGUAAUUCAUAUUCAUUUUCUUGAUAAGUUCAAGAAGUUAUAUAUAUAUAUAUAUAUAUAGUUAAAAUUAUGGCAGGGAAGAAGAGGUCAGGAUUUUCAUUUUUGGGUAUGUUCAAAUCGAAAAAUAGUAGUAGAAGGGACAACCAAGAUUAUUAUUUGAGGGAGGAUUGUAUGAAGGCAUACAAAGUGUGGCCAAGUGAUGAAGACAGAGGGCAAUGGGUAGCAGAUCCAGGUAUUGAUAACAAGGCUGCUCUUUUCAUCUCUAACAGAACUGCUAAGUGGAGCAACGUCCCUGAAAGCUAAAUCAAGACGACGAAGAAGGUGAAGAAAAAGACCAAGAUUAUUAUAUUUAAUUAUAUUUCCUCCAUAAAUUUAUAAACAUAUCCAACUUAUUCAUUAUGUUUCAUAAGGCUAGCUUUAAUUUGUAUAAUUUAUUUCUUCGUUUAGUUAGUGAAGUACUCAGUUUGAUCCUCUGUAUGUGAAUUGCAAAUAAUAUGUUGAUGAAUAAUAUUGUAGAGAUGAUCAAGAUUUGUUUAUACUAUUCAAAAGCUUUAUUGUUAUUAUUUCAUGGCUUCUUCUUGGUCCUUCUACCACUUAAUGUAUAUGUUCAGUAAUUAAGACUUGUUGAUGUUUCUCCUGUUAGGAUCGAUUUUCGUGCGCAUAAACUAAAUUUAUGGAGAAGAUGAAGCACACACUAAUUCUAUGGAGAGGAUGAAGAAAACUAGAGAGAGUGUUCUUGAGGAGAGAGAGAAUUAAUUUCGUGGUAAUACCAUGGGUAACCUUCACGGCGGACAGACUAUUUAUAUUAAUGACUCAGAGUAUUUACAGUUACAUAGAGAAAUGAGAAUAAAAGGUACAGUUACUCAGAAUAUGUACAGUUACACAGGUUGAACCGUGUGAACAUUAAUAUAUAACAGUACGUUACGUCACAUAUUAAAUACAUGUGUCGUUUAACAUAAACUUCCAAGUAUCAUUUAACUAAUGUGUACGAGUCUCAUAUAUACUAACUCAUGACAAAUGAUCCUCUUAACUAAGUUUGGUGGUGCAUGUAGUUUUUUUCUUAUUAUUUGUGAUAUAUACAAUAUGCUUUUCUCGUCGAUCACCAAUUAGAAUUAUAAGAUCUAGAACUGUAAUUAUAGCUGAACAAUAUAAUAAUGGUAAGUUUCUCUUAAGUUGGCUCUCUGUAGCUAACUAAUUAAGCAGCAACAUAAUGUAUGUGUAGGAUAAAUUGAUAUAAUCCAGAUAGGAAUUUGAAAUAUAUACGUACAGUGAAAUAUCGUAAGCUCUUGGUAGUUUCCUUUGUUAUUACCCCCCAAAAGGAGCGGUAAAUUUAUGAUUCUAUUUCACCUUUACUUAAUAUAAAGAACUUUCUUAAAAAGUGUUUUACUCCCACAUGAUUCUUUCUGCGUAAAUCCACAUUAAUUAGAGGCUAGUCCACCUAUAUAGGCCUGGAAUAUCAUAUUGUUAAACGGAAGGAAAAAGGAUUCCUUUGUUACUGCACUGUUUCUGUUAGAGUUUGUGACCAAAUUUAGCCUCAAAAGUUUGCAGCGUGAUCCAUGUUUGUGAUUUUUUUGUGCGGUCUGUGGUAGUAGCUUAGGGAUUGGGUCGAUGUAUGGAGCUGCAUGUUUUUGGGUUUAGAAUUUAUUUGUACGCACGUAUAAUAUAAGUGGGUUUAGUGGGUCGUUUUGGAUGUGUGUUUUAUACGUCAUUCUCCUCAUUGUAUUAUCCAUUCAUCAUAGUGAAAUUCCUCUGUCUCUGCCCGUGAUUUUUUCCGUCAAGAGUUUCCACGUAAAUCUGUGUGUUCAUCUUGUUUUUCUUUUGCUUGUGAUAUUGCUUAUUCUGUCCGAUUAUAACAGUUUUAAUAUAAUAGUGCAACUAAAAUCUUGGUAAUUUAGAAAGGAGUUUCUUUAAAUUACAGAAGUCAUCAAUUUAUUAUUAUUAUAAUUAAAAAAUGGUAGCUAGUGAAAAUAUUGAAUGCUCUGAGAUCAGUUUGCCCUUUGCUUGAAAGUAGUAGUGUAGAAUAUCAGAGGAGACAUUGCAGCAAUAAUGGUACGCUUGUCAGUCUGUAUGCCUUCUAAAAUAGUGGUAUACCUUCAAAGGAAAAUUUUCGAGAGGGAAAAAGUAACAGAGAAAGAGAAAGAGGAAUAUUAUAAGUUGAAUGCACCUUUGAAUUUAUUUUUGAAUCCAAUAGGGAAAUAAAUUUCUUUCCAAGAAGGAGGGUGGUCAUUUCGUGCUGAAAUUGUUGGACACGCUAUGUACAAACACACUUUAAUUUUGUUAUAAAGGAUGUCAUUCUGAAACUUAAUUUUGGAGUGGCUGACAAGUUUGUUUAACAUCAUUUUUGAGGCCGUAAAGAUGUCUAAAGUAUGGAGAUGGAGUACGAUGAUUCUUUUAUUUAAGGACAAGGGGAAUAUUCAGAGUUGUAAUAACUAUAGGAGUAUCAAGUUGUUGAGUCAUACUAUGAAGGUUUGGGAAAGGGUGGCGGAGUUGAGGCUUAGGAGGAUAGUGACUAUUUUCAAGGAUCAGUUUAGUUUCAUGUCAGGUCGCUCGACUAUUGAGGUCAUUCACCUCGGAAGGAGCUUAGUGGAGCUGUUUAGGGAGAGGAAGAAGGACUGACGCAUGGUGCUCAUUGAUCUUGAGAAUGCGUAUGACAAAGCCCCCAGAGAGAUUCUGUGGAGGUGCUUGGAGACUAGAGGGGCGUCCGUGACGUACACUAGGUCGAUUCAGGACAUGUACAACGACGUGAAAACUUGUCUGAGAAUGGUAGGAGGAGAUUUGAAGCACUUUACUAUUUUAACAGGGUUGCACCAGGGAUCGAGCCUUAACUCGUUUUUAUUUGCCUUGGUGAUGGAUGUUUUGACGAGACAUAUGCAAGGGGCGAUGCCUUGGUGUAUGUGUUUGCUGAUAAUGUUGUACUGAUUGACGAGACUCGGGAAAGAAUUAAUAAUAAGUUGAAGGUUUGGAGACAGAUCCUUGAGUCUAAAAGAUUUAGAUUGAGUAGGACUAAGACGGGGUACUUGGAUUGUAAGUUUAGUGAUUUGUCGUAUGAGGUUGACAUGGUAGUGAAACUGAAUUCUCAGGCUAUUCAGAAGAGGGAUAGUUUCAAGUAUCUUGGAUCUAUGAUUUAGGGUAAUGGGGAGAUUGACGAGGAUUUCACGCACCGUAUUGAUGCAGAGUGGUUGAAAUGGAGGCUCACUUUGACAGUCUUGUGUAAUAAGAAGGUGUUCUUAAGCUUAAACGAAAGUUCCACAGAGUGACAAUCAAACCGGCUAUGUUGUAUGGAGAACUCCCACAUUCAAAAGUUGAAUGUGGCGGAGAUGAGAAUGUUGCAAUGGAUCUGUGGAUUUACCAGGAGGGAUAGAGUUAGAAAUCAUGAGAUUGUUCGGGAGAAGGUGGGAGUGACUUCGGUGGAGGACAAGAUGCGGGAAGCAAGAUUGUGAUGGUUCGGAUAUGUGAUGAAGAUGGACACGGAUGCUCCAGUACCGAGAUGUGAGAGGCUGACUAUGGAUGGUUUUAAGCGAGGUAGAGGUAGGCCGAACAAAUAUGGAUGGUCCACUAACAGCAAGCAUUUUCUCCCUUGUAAUUUAUCACCAUCAUCCAUCAAAAUCAAUGGUUAGAUUAGCAUCUUAAAACUCUACACCCUUAGAUCAUACCACCCCCAGUAUCCCCUCACUACUAUAAAUUCAAAGAGCACUCACUCAUUUUCUAAACCAAGAAACACACACUGAUCAUCACCUCAAAAGAUCAGUAAUUCAUAUUCAUUUUCUUGAUAAAUUCAAGAAGUUAAAUAUACAUAUAUAGUUAAAAUUAUGGCAGGGAAGAAGAGGUCAGGAUUUUCAUUUUUCGGUAUGUUCAAAUCGAAAAAUAGUACUAGUAGAAGGGAUAACCAAGAUUAUUAUUCGAGGGAUGAUUGUGUGAAGGCAUACAAAGUGUGGCCAAGUGAUGAAGACAGAGGGCAAUGGGUAGCAGAUCCAGGUAUUGAUAAUAAGGCUGCUCUUUUCAUCUCUAACAGGACUGCUAAGUGGAGCAACCUCCCUGAAAGCUAAAUCAACAGCAACAACAAGAAGAUGAAGAAAGAGACCAAGAUUAUUAUUAUAUUUCUUCCAUCAAUCCUCUUCUACAUAUCCAACUUAAUUAUUCAUUAUGUUCCAUAAGGGUAGGCUUUGUAUAUUUUUUCUUCCUGUAGUUAGUGAUGUCAGUUUGCUCCUCUGUAAGUGAAUUGCAAAUAGUAUGUUGAUGAAUAAUAUUGUAGUGAUGAUCAAGAUUUGUAUAUAAUAUUCAAAAGUUCUAUUAUUACUAUUUCAUGUCUUCUUCUUGUUUUUUCUACUACUUUAUAUAUAUAUAUAUUGUUGGAAAAUAUAUUUCAACAUCACAAAAAUAUGAAGAAGAACACGCUUGACAAUAUGAACAGCAAACAUAUGAUUAGAGGCUUGAAACAUAUGCUCAAUGUUUUUAUAAAAAUGAUAUUUGUUCUUUCUCCUCAGCGAGAUUGUUGUGGGAUUGUACGCAAAUAGUUUUAAUGGAUACGGCAAGUGUGUGAAUUUAUACACUAAGCAAAAUAACUUGAUCUUAAUCUUGUGGAGAAGAAAUUUGGAGAAGAAAAGAGAUUUCGGAGAUUGUUGUGAACACCACUUCUCCGUAAAAGUUACAUUGAAAUCACAAGAAAUUGGGUUUAAAGUGAAUUAAUAGAAACCAAUAAAUGAUAGGUCACACCCUUUCAUUAAAA